GUAUUUGCUUUGGCAACACAUAUAUUAAAAUUAGGACAAUACAGAGAUUUGCAUGGCCCCUGUGCAAGUAUGACAUGCAAAUUUGUGAAGUGUUCCAUAUUUAA